GCCUUACAGAGAGAGAGAGAGAGAGAGAGCUCUGUGGUUGUGCUAAGAACAUGUGUUUAUGACAUCAUAUUUAUACAGUAAGUAUGACAUGACAUCACUCUCAUGCUUAUGACAUCACAUGUAUCAAUACUCAAGAUGUCAUUACUGGGCAUGUAUCCUUAUAAAAAUAUGUGAUGUAAAAAAAAAAUACUAUUAUAGCCUACUUUACUAUUCAUUUUUUUGUAUAUUUUAUUUAGGCCUACUUUGGAAGCAUAAAAUUUGUACUUCAUUUAAAACCGCACAAAACUUUUAUAAGCGCAAUCAAACAAUACAUUUUUAUACUGUAGAGACAUUUAAAUGAAAGUUUGCUUCCAUUAAAUUGCUGCAUAAACGAAACAUAAAAACGCGAACUUGAUGAGAAAACAUUUUUAAACAAAAUUUACCUCAAAGAUGUCGCAUUUAUUGUUUCUGCCUUGUUUACUCAGUGUUUUUUAUGUUUGCUCAGUACGCUGCUAAAAAGCCUGUUGGGUUGGACAGUCGCUAAAUUAUGUCAAUGUUUUGCUGUGUUCCAGACAACUCGGAUAUAGGAUAUUUUCCAUCUCGUAACCGGAAUAACGUGUGGAUUAUGUAACAUUAAAAGUAUUAAGUAGCAUUAAUGCUACUGAUGAUAUUAAUGCUAUUUAAAAUAUGCUAAAUCCAAGUUGUCUGGAACGCUCGGACGCAUUAUUUACGACGUGACGUUGUGGCGUUCACGUUCACUUUAUGAGAUCCAGUCAGCGUGUUUUUGUUUUACAGUCUAUGGUUCCACCAGUCCUGCUUCCAUCUGUUUGAUAUUAAAAAUAUAAAUGAGUUAUAAAUAAAUUCCUGCUGUAAGAUAAUGAAGAUCUGACAGGUGGGCUGAUUAUAACGUGAACAAAUUCCAAGCAAAUGCCAUCCCCAUCUUUGAAAUUUCUGUCAGGUAAUAGGUAUAAAUGACAGCUAUCGCGUGAAUUGAAAAUAGGCUACAUAUCUUUCGCGUCACAACCGCUGCUGAUGCGUGAACAGCACAAAUCCGGAUUCGCACCUGUUAGUAAAUACAGCUGUGAAUCCCAAACAGACUGUGUCAGCUAAGCUACUCGACUGUUUACCCUAAUGACGGGAUUCAAGGCAGCUUUGAGAACACCUGACAGAAAAGAAGAAGAAAAGCUAGAGACCAGAUAGAUAGAGUAAUAGAGCAUUAAAGCUCGACGGAUGAUAGUCGCAUCAAGAGGCUUUGAAAUGUAAAUGUUAAAGAGAGCUCGGUCUGUGGAGCACCGGGUUACCUUGGUAACUUCAAAGGCUCGUCCUUGAGAGAAGCAUCAGGCCGUAAGUGCAGACGUUGGCAUGGAGCUCCGAAAUAGGAGACAAUGAGGACAUAUUUACAUUUCGGUGAGAGGAUAAGAUGGGAAGGAUAAAUUUAGUGUUUUAAUUUCUGAUGCUUUAACAUUCUUAUUAACAGUUGUUUUAGUACUUACUGUAUAUUAAACAACCAAAGCAAGGUUGUACUAAAGUAGGCCUACUAUUAAUUAUAACAAAAGUGUCAAAAAAGUUUGUUUGUGUUUGACGCUGGAAGGAAUAAACUUUUUUGGUUUGUUUAUUUAGACUGAAAUUUUUGUGUCGUUUGUAAUAAUAAUAAAACAUUUUAAAAUGACAUUAAGUGUUGUAGAGGUGCUUCAAAAUAUUGUGAUCGAACAAACAACAUUGAUGAUGGCACA